rnacentral:rRNA from 1 species
GACGAACGCUGGCGGCGCGCCUAACACAUGCCAGUCGAACGAGCGAGCGAGAGCUUGCUUUCUCGAGCGAGUGGCGAACGGGUGAGUAACGCGUGAGGAACCUGCCCCAAAGAGGGGGACAACAGUUGGAAACGACUGCUAAUACCGCAUAAGCCCACGGUGCCGCAUGGCACAGAGGGAAAAGGAGCAAUCCGCUUUGAGAUGGCCUCGCGUCCGAUUAGCUAGUUGGUGAGGUAAUGGCCCACCAAGGCGACGAUCGGUAGCCGGACUGAGAGGUUGAACGGCCACAUUGGGACUGAGACACGGCCCAGACUCCUACGGGAGGCAGCAGUGGGGAAUAUUGCACAAUGGGGGAAACCCUGAUGCAGCGACGCCGCGUGGAGGAAGAAGGUCUUCGGAUUGUAAACUCCUGUUGUUGGGGAAGAUAAUGACGGUACCCAACAAGGAAGUGACGGCUAACUACGUA